AAGAGUUAGAGGACUUUGGCAAGGAUAAUGAAGUGUGGGAUGAACUCCUUGGUCUACUGACACCGUGAUCAGGACAAGUGGCAGAAAAUGAUUGAAUUAAUGAA